UGCAGGAGGCCAUGCCUUUCAGGAACGCUGAGAAAAUCACCGCGAUGGACAAGGUUUGGCCCAUCUAAGAGGAAUCCUGCUCUCCGGCAUACCGGCAUAUCGGCAUAUCGAUGGUACUCCAUACAAGUCUGAUCGAUCACUGAAUGAAACAGACACCCGGAAGCAGAGAAUCCCAUCUAGUGCAGCACAUCACAUCCAGUGUCAUGUCUCCUGGGGCUCCUGUUGGCUGUCACAAUUUCUCAGACUUCCCUUGUUUGUGAUUACAUUGAUGGUUUUAAGAAGUACUGUGUGGAAGUUGUGGGUUGACCCAGAAGUUCCAUGGAUCCAGGCAGGUCAGACCCUGACCGUAACUGCGGGAUUCUGGAGGUUUUGCUAGAGCUGGCCCGUCCACCCCCACCAAGGAGAGGGCAUGUAAGUGUUCCCAUUAGGAAAUGAAGCAACAUCUGGCAUGUUCAUCUGGCAUGUGGCCUAGGCCAAGGGCAGAAG